UACGUAGGGGGCUAGCGUUGUCCGGAUUUAUUGGGCGUAAAGAGCGUGUAGGCGGCCAGGUAGGUCUGGUGUGAAAACUCGAGGCUUAACCUCGAGAUGUCAUCGGAAACCAUUUGGCUAGAGUCCGGAAUAGGAGAGUGGAAUUCCUGGUGUAGCGGUGAAAUGCGCAGAUAUCAGGAAGAACACCAAUGGCGAAAGCAGCUCUCUGGGACGGUACUGACGCUGAGACGCGAAAGCGUGGGGAGCGAACAGG
rnacentral:rRNA from 1 species